UGAGCAAAAUUCUCCAAACAUACUCCAUUUCAGUUCGUUUUGCAUGUUUACUAUAUUUUUCUUGCAGGUUAGCCAGCUCCACGGUGCUGUGACUGUUCAGUUGUUACAGUGGGCUCUGCCUCCUUGUUAAAAACGGGACCAGACUUCCGGUACUAAAAGUGAUUUCAGCAUUUAUUGUAAGAAAAAGAAAGGCCUGAAGCAUGGGAGCCCGCAGGCCGAACAGGAGCAUUCCCAUCGAGGAUGCUGCAGCAGUGGCGCUGGGUCUUCUUCAGCAGCUAUGUCCCCGAUGUUCCAGGUGGAGAUGCACAGAUUCAGUGGUUUUAUCCAUGCCCAUAGAGCCAUCUAGAAGGAGAGAGGACUUCUGAACGCUCAAGCUGGGGACCAAGGACAAAGGAUCCAAAUUUCAGGCCCAAGAGUGUAAACAACAGCAGAAUGAAGAGAGAAAAACAAGAAGGAUGGGACUUCAUAAGCUAAAGCUGUAAUUGAACAAUGAACCCCAAUAUGCAAAUGGACCAAAACUUAUAAAAGUGUCAGACCCCGUGACCGGUCAUCCAUUUUGUGACCAUUUUGGGUUCAUCUUGGGUGUAGCCCUGGAUGGGCUCUUGUACUGCCCAAGGUGUAUCCAUUGAGGCCUUCUAAUAAAUACCUACUUUAUUCUUUA